UACGUAGGCAGCGAGCGUUGUUCAGAGUUACUGGGCGUAAAGGGUGUGUAGGCGGUCCCUUAAGUUUGGUGUGAAAUCUCCCGGCUCAACUGGGAGGGUGCGCCGGAUACUGAGGGGCUAGAGUGCGGGAAGGGAAAGUGGAAUUCCUGGUGUAGCGGUGAAAUGCGUAGAUAUCAGGAGGAACACCGGUGGUGCAAACGGCUUUCUGGACCGUAACUGACGCUGAGACACGAAAGCGUGGGGAGCAAACAGG
rnacentral:rRNA from 1 species